GCUGGGCAUGGUGGUGCACGCCUGUAAUCCCAGCUACUUGGGAGGCUGAGGCAGGAGAAUCGCUUGAACCCAGGAGGCAGAGGGUGCAGUGAGCCAAGAUUGUGCCACUGCACUCCUGCCUGGGCAACAGAGCAAGACUCUGUCUCAA
rnacentral:SRP_RNA from 2 species